UUUGAAAAGUAAAUCUCAAAGAACAUCAACAAAUGCUGUAAAAAAAAAGAGUGCAAAACAAGCAUGCUAUGGCUUUCACAGAUCCAGCACAUCACUUUGAAACAACAAAGCAGUCCCUUCACCCAAGGAAGGAAAUCUCUCCCCCUGGUCUAACUGAGCAGCAUUCAGGAAGCAGAAUCCUUCCUUCAGCUGUUCCCCAGUGACAGAAGAGGCUGUGACCUCCAGCAACUGAGUCAUUUUGCUUCCAUGAUAAGAAAUUGCUCUCUGAAAUGUUAGCACUGCUAAGUCAGAACUUUGCUCUUGGGUCUGAGAGAUCUGAUAAGAAGGACAGCAGUUGCCACACGCACUGCAAAUUGCUAACACCCAGGAAACAAGCUCACAGGACAGCCAAAUGCUGAGGGAAAAGCAAAAGAGAAGAUAGGAAGAAAAGCUCAAGCUGAGCAGCAAAAAGGCACAUCUACUAAAGGCGUGAGGAAUACAAGAGCAUGGGGCUGGCUAGGGAGCACCAGUAGCACAGGCCCUAUCUUGGUCUCAGAGCAAGCCUGGCUACAGGGAGAGUGGACAUCAUGUUCAUUAUCAUCUCCAUCAUCCUUAGUGUCUGACUCCAUUCUGUAAGCAGUCUCCUUAGUCAGAGUCCCAUGCUAUUGUCAACCCCACUGAAGAGUGCCUGCACAGGUGACUGCUUUGGUCUAAAGUGGAAAAAUGUGUGUUUAGAAAAAAUGACUUUUUAUGGACUUAAAAACCCCAAACAUUAUAUAUCUACUCACCCUUCUGGUCUUGCUAGAGAAACCUAGCAGGUUAUUUCUACAGACAUGUGAAAUGGGCAGCCAGCAAGACAGACACCAACCUGAAGCAAUCACUGUAAAAUCAGGAACUGAAAGAUCCUGUCAAGAUUUCAGGAGCUGCCAAGAAAGUUAAUCCUUCUCUGGAAAAAAAGGUACACUUCUCCAUUCUACAGCAGGCAGCAAAGGACUCCAAGUGGUUCCUACAGCAAAAAACACACAGGAAAUCUGCUCUUCCAACAACUGCAUAAUAAGAAACUGUGAUAUGAAUUUUGAGAAAAGUGAUGUAAUUGAAAAUAAAUCCAUCAGUGAUUAAUGCAUCAGUAGAUGUGAAUUUGCUAAUUACUACCAGAACAAAUGGAAACACAGUUCCAGACUCCUACAUCCACUGAGAAUUUUGCUAUUCAUGGUAUCACCAUGGGCUGAGACUUUGGGAAAGAGCUUCAGUUCUCCACCCCAGUUUUCCUACCACAUCUUAGUAAAGUUUCUUCUUUUCACCACCACUGGCUCAUUGCAACUAGGAGUUCUAGUACAUGCUAAGCUGUGUUAGAAAGCAACAACCAGGCAAACUCAAGAGAGGUACUUCUGAGAUGGGCUGAGCUGCCUGCUGAAGGUAUCUUUUUCAUUCUGAUUACUGCAGAGAGAGCUGGUAGCCUUUCAAAUCUUACGCAGCUAAUAGUGAAAAAGUCAACUAAUAUUGGAGAAGAAUUCCAGUUCUAACACCUCUGAGCCACCAUCUGGGAAGAGGAGGAUCAUGCUUCCUUUCUGCAUAAAUGCAUUGCUAAUGUAUAUGUAAUGCUGGUUGGGAAGAAUUCAGAAAUGUCGGUGGAAGACUACGAUUCAUUCACUCAUGAUUUAGUCAGGGUUGAUAGCUGAGUGAAAAAUAAAUGGUUAGUAGUUGAGCUGAGUAGUUAGUUGCUUGGUUGCCUUUCAGGUGCUGCUCUUUGUUGAGUCUUACACAUGCAAACAGAUUACCAAAUUGAAAAGGAAUAGUGUAAAUAACAGCAUAAAACUGCAAGAUUUUUGCAGGGACAAUGUUUUAGUAUAAUCUGUAUGCAACUGAAAUAUCAAAAUGACCUUUUGUUUCUCCAGCAGUAUUAGAAAGAGAGGAGGUAGAGUCUGCACAACUUUCAUUCUAAUCAUCCUUUUCUGUAAGAUAAUCUCUGGUUUUCUACACUUUCUUUCAGAGAUAAAUUGCAAAUACCUGAGCAGCCCAGACUACUGCCUAACACAGAUGGGAUUUUGAUUUCAGCACUGUUUUUUUCCCAGCAUCUUUUCAUAACUUGAUGACAUUUCUCCAUUCAUCUAUUAUUCAUGUAUGUUCUUCUCCCACAUCUACCUGAAGUGUUAUCUGUAACUUAAGCACUUGGAACUGAUAACUGCAUUUAUCACAACCAUCACUCUCGUAUGUUUCAGUAGUAAAGGAUAUUGUAACCUAAAGUGAGCCUAGCCUAGGUUGCAAGUGGGCAAUAAAAAGGCCUGAUUUGA